AAAACAGGUGGAGAAGAAAAGACACGUUAACUGUAAAAGAUUUAAGAGUUAAUGUGAAGAAUUAGGUGUGGCAGAUGGCAUUGAGUAGGGCUGUGCGCUUUAGGGAAAAUAUCUAAUCGCGAUUUUUUUUUUUUUUUUAGAUAUUGCGAUUGUCAUUUGAUUUGCAAUUUUAAAUUUGCAAAGUCAAGUUUCAGCUCAAUAUUGUCAAUAAUGUGCAGUACAGUAUGAGUAUCAUUACCCUGCUGAAAAAAAGCAUUCUUACAGUUUCCGUUAAACCAUAAUGUUUUUAGCAUUAUUCCAAUAGGAAUUACUCUUGUUCUAUUGGUUGCCAUCUGCCAGAUUACAUCUCAACAAUUGUGUAUGAGGAGAUGUCGUCACGACACAGCGCCCCACCCCCAGAGACCGCGUCUCCUCCCCUUUCCGCCAUUUUGGGAGUAUACCCGCCAGCACAGUUCAUUGUUUACAUUGGUAGUAGAGGAGGUUGUCGCACUAUUCUAGAAUGCCUGGAAAACACUGCUGUGUAAAAAACUGCUCCAGUGUCUCACACGAUUGUCGUGAAAACCGUAGGAACCAUUUGUUACAGUUUUUUUCGUUUCCCUACAUGGAAAAAAGCAUUUCAUUUGAACUGAAUGCCAUCACUGUUUGAUCCAGAGCUGCUAUUUACACACAACUCUCUCCAGAUGUUUUUCUGCUGCAGCUGUGAAUCAGUGAAGGACGAUUGGUGUCUGUUGAAGAAGCACAUAACUGUUACCUAACAGCAAAGUAAUCUGGUGACAAAAGUUACGCCAUGGCAACCGGAAAAGUGAAAGGUUUUGUACCUCAAUGCGGCUGGGAAUAAUAAGGCAGAUACUGGUUUGAGGUUUUUCAUGGAGAGUGUGCAGAUACAUGGAUGGCCAUCAAGAGUACGCGGUGACCAAGGCGUAGAAAAUGUGGAGAUAGCAAGAUCCAUGUUCACUGUGUGAGGAACAGGUCAUGGCAGCUUUAUAGCUGGGAAAAGUGUGCACAACCAAAGAUGGAAUACUUGCAUGACCAGGAAGCUUGUGGUGCUGAUCCAGAACAUGGAGUCAUAGUACCAGAAACUGCAUGCCCCUUGUCAGCUGAGGCUCUUGCUGCCUUAAAAGAUAUUAACCCCACUGCAGAGUCCUCUUCUCUCGGGAGGAUUGGUGCGGAUGUUUCCAUUUACCCGGAAGUUGAUUUUGGGUGCUCAGAAAGUAGAGGGCUGUAUUUAAAGUGGCUUUUGAUGCUCAUUAUUCGUAGUCAUCACUGUUCAUUGUUUUGAUUUAAGCUUCCUUUUUUUUUGUUUAUUAUGUGAAUGUGUUUUGUUUGAAUCUUUUUGACUCAAGUGCAGUCUUUUUGGCCCAGUACGAGUUAAACAAACCUGGUCUGUAUUUUCCUGAGGCUGUUUAGGAUAUCCGGUUAUCCAAUUGUUCUCCUGAGAGUACCCUGAUUGAAGUGGUGAACGUGUAAAAUUCAACAAUGUGGUGGGGUAACGAUCAUCUGGAAUGUAUCUGUCUAUGACGAGAAUGCUUAUCACACUGGUUUGAGACAAACAUUGUGCAUUUGGGUCAAUAGUUGUUUUUGUGUGUUUUUUUUUUUUUUUUUUUUUUUUAAUUGUAGGCCUGGGCGGCAAAGAAACUAAGGGCGGCAGCCUUCCUCAUCUUGGUGGUGGUGUUUUGGAGUGAUUGCUGUGCCACCUGGAGGUGUGUGACUGAGUGCACGUGUGUUUGUGGUUUUCUUUGUUUCUUUCUUUUUAGGAGAAUAGGAGCCAGGAGCGUCCAAUUUUGUAUAGCAUAUAUAUAUAUAAAUAAAUACUUUUUUUUUUGAUUGUGGUUUUCUUUCCGUAUGAUUGUUUGGAUCAUUUUAAUUAAUAAAAGUGAUUUUACUGUUUG